GUAUCCUUAUGGUCGGCCAUGUUGAAAAAUUUCUUCCCACGCCGCACUCUCAGUCUCUCACGGGUCUUCUGUCGGCCAAAGGCUGUUCAGAAACGAUGGCUGGAAACUGUUUGGCUAUGCACAGUAGAAUGCCAGCUAUAAGCAGAUGGCUGGAAACCAUUGGCAGGAGAAUGUGAGCAAUAAGCAGAUGGCUGGAAACCAUUAAGUAAUGUGAGCAGUAAGCAGGUGGCUGGAAGCUGUUUGGCUAUGCACGGUAGAAUGCCAGCUAUAAGCAGAUGGCUGGAAGCUGUUUAGCUAUGCACGGUAGAAUGCCAGUUAUAAGCAGAUUGCUGGAAACCAUUUUGCAAUGCACAGUAGAAUGUGAGAAUUGAGGAUAUGGCUGUAAACUGUUUGGCUAUGCACAGUAGAAUGCCAGCUAUAAGCAGAGCAACCUGUCACUCUCCACCUCUUCGGAGGAUGACCCUCCGCAGGUGUCCAGCACUCCGAAGAGGCCCCGGCCUGGGCCAUCCCACCUUCCCGACGACUUCCGUGACCUUCCACACGCCUGACCUCUGACUGUGUUUGACUAUUCUUGGUGCGACGAGGACAGCGAUGACGAUUCUGAUUAUCGUCCUCGCAGACGGCAGUCAGAGGAAGAGGACGAGCAGGAAGACUAUGUCGGGCUGGUGGAUACCACGCAGGAGAGCGACGAGCCGCUUUCUGCCUACGUUGCUCGUAGGCGGAGCUGGAACGAGCCGGGAACACCCUAUUUCGUUUGGAGGAAGAGGGAGAACUUCCCACGGAAGCACGUGUUUGCGGCCCAUCCUGGGGUCAAGGCCGACCUUGAGAUCUGGAGAUCUUCAGGUGUUUGUUCCCUGAAGAUCUCCUCUCCUCUCCCACAUCAUCACGGAGACCAACUUGUAUGCUGAGACACGCCCUCCUCCCUCCUCAUCCCAUAUGAGGAAGUGGACUCCACUGUCCAGGGAGGAGUUCUCUGCCUACUUGGGUCUCCAUGUGAACAUGGGGUUGCAGCCCCGGUUCAACUACCGGGACUACUGGUCUCAAGAUGAGCACCUGCGGUCGUACCUCUACACAGACGUGAUGGCACGGGAUCGCUUCGACCACCUCACCAACCACCUCCAUUUUUUGCUUUUGUAGGAGGGUGAGGGGGUCCCCGCGGAUCAUCUGUGGAAGUUACGGCCGGUGAUCGACUCCCUGGAUUCGACCUUCAAGACCACCCUCAUGCCCGACAAGGACAUCGCUAUCGACAAGUCCUUGUGGGCGCUUGGGAUUCAUCACCUUCAACCCGACGAAGAGGGCGCGGUUCGGGUUGAAGGUAUACAAGCUGUGUGCCUCCACGGGCCCGUCGUCCGGAUACACGUCGUGUUUCCGGAUCUACACGGGCCAGGACCGUGGAGACGUACCAGCUGGGACGAAGGUCGUCAUGGAGCUGAUGGAGAGGAGUGACAGUUUGGGGAAGGGUUACAGUGUCUUUGUUGACAAUUGGUAUACCUCCCCCACUCUUUUCCACAUGCUCCAGGAAAGGCGGAUGAAUGCGGUGGGGACAGCGCGCAUCAACAGGAAGUGGAUGCCGAAGGACUUCACCGCACUGAGAAAGGGCGAGAUGGACUACAGGAGUACACCUACGGGCAUGUUCUGUGUACAGUGGCAUGACCGUUAAGGUUGUCACCGUACUCUCUACGGUUCAUCGAGCCACGGUCGAAGGAGACGGAAAGCCCCACGCCAUUCUUGACUACAACGUCGGGAUGAAGGGCGUGGACGUAGGUGACCAGCUUUCCGCCUCUUACCCCACCACUCGGAGGUCGAGGGUGUGGUACAGGAAGGUGUUCUUCCUGUUCGACCUAGCGAUCGUCAAUGCCUUCGCCGUUCAUCGGACACUUGGCGGCCGGAAUUCCCAGAAGGAGUUCCGGUUGAAGCUGGGGAAACUGCUCAUCGGUGGUUACAGGUAUGGUAACGCGCCGAUGACCAGGAGGUCAACGAGGGCGUUCUACCAGGCCAGCUUCCGCCAGAGACGAGGGCUAAACGACCGCAUUCUCAGCAACCCGCCUUGCCAGGGAGUCGGCUUUGAUGUCGCGUGUGUUCCCGUCGGGGAAUACCGCGAAGGACCAGGACGCGGUGCAUAACCUGUGGCGUGGGGUUAUGCCAGUACGACUGUUUUGACGAGUGGCAUGACUUCGUCUGAAGUCGUGCCACUCGUCAGGGUAGUCGUUGUAUAAAAGGUACAUAUGCUUUAUGCACCUUCUCAUUCUACAUAUGUUUAUGUAGUUUUUAUACAUGUUUCUAUAUAUAUGUUUAUUAUUGUAUAUACAUUAUACAUAUGCUUAUGUACUUCUUGUUGUUUCUACAUGUUUUUAUGUAGUUUCUCAUUUUUAUAUACUUGUUUGUGUAUAUAUGUCUAUUAUUGUAUAUACAUUGUACAUAUGCUUAUGUACUAGUUAUUUCUACAUGUUUUAUUAUGUAGUUUUUGUUUUUCAACAAUAAACUUUAUUUUUUC
rnacentral:misc_RNA from 1 species